rnacentral:lncRNA from 1 species
CAGCAGCAGGUACCGCAACGCUGGCCUUGACCUAGGGUGGCACGUGUGGCGCCUCUCAGUCCCCAUGUGUGACCUUUCUCUGACACUAUGGGGAGCGCUCUGGGCCCUGGGUAUCCUUGGCCUGUGCCUCAGGCAGGCAGAUGUGCCCCAGGAGCGAUCCUCAAGGGCCAGGGGACGGAGCUGGGGGUAAGCAGCUUCCUUAGCCCCAGGCUGGACAAUUCCAUGGUGUGUUUCAGUUUCUCACAGGGUCCUGUGGGACGGAGCCUCUGCUUCUGGUAUCCAGGGACUAACGCACCCGGUGCUGAUCACGUUUCUCACCUCCUCAGGGGUGCUCACCCACAAAUGAAGGACUUACAGCCAGGUGCCGUCUGAUGGCUCAGCCAUGUGGAAGAGCAAGCGUAUUCUUCUGUUUUCUGUAGCCAAUAACACAAUGCCACAGACUGGGUGAGUUAAAAAGAAAGAAGGUUUAUUUUGGCUGACGGUUCUGCAGGCACGAGGCUGAGGGCUGCCUCUGGUGAUGGCUGUUGUGAGGUGACACAGGGUGUCACAUGGCAAGUGACGCGACUGUGUGUGUGUGUCUUUAGGCUUCUUUCCCUGUGAGCUUGUCUAACCCUGAUCACUUCCCAAAUUGCACCCCGUAAACACCAGGCUGGAUUAGGUUUCUACUCUUUGAAUCCUUGUGAUGGCGAUCACAGUUCAACACAUUGAACUUGGGACGUUCCACCCACAUCCACACCACAGUGGCAACCCAGCUGAAUGUAAGACCGAGGAGACGUGGUCAUCCUGUGGCUUGUGAAGAGUGGAACCCAGGAGUCUGAGUGGGCCUGGGGGUCACGGCAUGGACCUCUGCAGAACAGCAGGAGGUGAGGCCCCCUCCCCCUGUCUGCUUGGGAUGACUGUGGUCUGUGGUCCAGGCAGGGGCUGGGGGGCGAGUGACCAAGCAGUGCCAUGCACACGAGUGGGCAUCAGCAUCUCCUGACUCGGCUGCCAAGUGGGGGUGACAGUGCUCUUGGGGACCCCUUUUAAUGUUUGCAAUAGUGCACCCGACACAAGUAGAUGGCUCAAUGCCUGGCUUGGGGUCUGGACCGCGCUCACGUGCGGGGACAGUGCUCUUGAUAGUGAGGCCCCAGUGCCUGGGCAAGGGGGUGACCCGGUUCCAGUUCACACAGCACAGCUUGAGUAAGAGCAGCACGUCUCCUGUGGUCCCCAGGUGUCCUCCGCACUUCUCCCAGGUGACCAGGUGUGGCGUUGCCAUCAACUGCUGACCCCUGCACUGGCCUGGCAUUUCUGAAACGCUCUCCCAGUGUGCUCCCAGUGAGGCCCUACCAGGGAUCCACACAGUGCUGGGCGGUCACCUGGAGCCCCCAGGGGGCCCAUCCUCAGAACUCCGGGAACCCCACAGAUUCUGUCCCACACUCCCUGUGGAUGGGCUGAAUCCUGGCCACAUCCUGCUCGGCCACCAGGGGCCUUUCAUCAUGAAUGUCCAAACGGAGCCAUAAAACUAUUUAUUUAAAGUAGCUCCUUUCAGCCCGUCCUCACAGAUAAACAUAAAUAAAUCACGUGGCUUCUCCAUGAAUUAUGCAUUAAACACACUUCUGUAAAACUCCCCAUCAAUGGUAGGGCUUUGAACAUAUGGGGUUUUAAUUGAACACUAAAUCAAUUUUCCUAUCUCUGUUGAUGGAAUUUUUAAAACUAUUCCUGGCUUUAUUUAAGAUGUCUGUCCUGGUUACAUGAUAGAAAAUAAAACCCUUGGACUCUGGUGAUUCUGACACCGGCUUCUGUGCUCAUUUUCCAUAAUUCAAAUCCUGGUGCCGGGCACCUGUGAUGGGGAGAUUAAAAGGGUCCUCGGGGAGCAGAGCCCUGGAACACUC